GACCUGAUGGUGCAGCGGUUAGCACAUCUACUAAAAAUUAUGUUUGGACUUCUAUCAUUAAAAGUAGGAGAUCCCUGUUCGAUUCAGGGUCGGGUCA